rnacentral:tmRNA from 1 species
GGGGGCGAAUAGGAUUGACAUUGAUGGGUUGUCUUAUCUCCCGCAGGUCGUGGAUGACCCUGGCCACGUAAAAAGGGUCAAAAAAAACAACUGCCAACUCAUACGAGAUGGCCUGGGCAAACGCUUAAUAAGCGUCUAAUUGCCCACGCGGUCGCUCGGUCUCCCGGGUCGAACGUAACCGCGUCGCUUACCGGGAUAGUAGCAUAUCAAUCUAAGUCCGUAUUGUAUGCUAUGAAAAGCUAACGGACUGGGAAGAGCGUUAGGUUGUCUCGAACCUUCGCCUUCCUUGAACAAUCGGGACUAAGCCUGUAGUGGGAAUAGGGCAUCAUUAAUGGACCCGGGUGCAAAUCCCGGCGCCUCCAUGG